rnacentral:rRNA from 1 species
UCGACGCUUCUUUUCCCACCGGAGCUUGCUCCACCGGGAAAAGAGGAGUGGCUUAUACGGGUGAGUAACACGUGGGUAACCUGCCCAUCAGAAGGGGAUAACACUUGGAAACAGGUGCUAAUACCGUAUAACAAUCGAAACCGCAUGGUUUCGUUUUGAAAGGCGCUUUACGGUGCCGCUGAUGGAUGGACCCGCGGUGCAUUAGCUAGUUGGUGAGGUAACGGCUCACCAAGGCCACGAUGCAUAGCCGACCUGAGAGGGUGAUCGGCCACAUUGGGACUGAGACACGGCCCAAACUCCUACGGGAGGCAGCAGUAGGGAAUCUUCGGCAAUGGACGAAAGUCUGACCGAGCAACGCCGCGUGAGUGAAGAAGGUUUUCGGAUCGUAAAACUCUGUUGUUAGAGAAGAACAAGGGUGAGAGUAACUGUUCACCCCUUGACGGUAUCUAACCAGAAAGCCACGGCUAACUACGUGCCAGCAGCCGCGGUAAUACGUAGGUGGCAAGCGUUGUCCGGAUUUAUUGGGCGUAAAGCGAGCGCAGGCGGUUUCUUAAGUCUGAUGUGAAAGCCCCCGGCUCAACCGGGGAGGGUCAUUGGAAACUGGAGAGACUUGAGUGCAGAAGAGGAGAGUGGAAUUCCAUGUGUAGCGGUGAAAUGCGUAGAUAUAUGGAGGAACACCAGUGGCGAAGGCGGCUCUCUGGUCUGUAACUGACGCUGAGGCUCGAAAGCGUGGGGAGCAAACAGGAUUAGAUAC